GCUAAAGCCUUGUCAGGUUGUGGACAAUAAAGAACUGGAGGUACUUCCUCUCUAGCUCCUGAUUUGAUAUGCUCUCUGAUAUGCAUUUCCUAACUGCUCAGCUUUUAUAGACUACUGAGAAGUCUGAUGUGGUAAUUUGAACAGUUCCUCAAAAAACCCCGCAGCUAAGAUACUGAGCUGCUCUCGUGUGCUCACUUGGAGUCCAGGGAACCUUGGGCAGGAUCCUGAAAGAGCUUCAACCUGGAGUUGUUCAACAUCUCUGCACUGUGGUGGAGGCAUUUGCCACCACCAGGAGCUCAUGGCAAAGCAAAGGGACAUCAAACUCCAGCCUGGCAAUAGCUAAACUCAUCAACAGCCUCCCAGCAGUGAUUCUGACAGGGAGCUUGGGCAGACAUCAGCCUCCUCAGGAAAACCAGUUAUCCUGAAAGAACUGAAGCUGCAGCUCUUUAAAGACUUUUUUUCCGACUGAGAAGAUAUCCUGCCUCAGAGGUGUUUCUCUGUGAAUCCACAAGAUGGCUGGAUCCAGCUGCACCAUGAAUUCAAGGAACCACCUGCAAAAUAUUUUAAUGACUUCAACCUGCUCUUUGAGGUGAAUUAAUACCAGGGCAGCCUCUGCAGCGCAGUGAAAUAGUCAGGCUUGACUAAGCAGGCCACCCUCAAAGCUGAAAAAUAUGUUCUGCAAGCCCAAUGUGCCUGACAGGCAAGUUUGUUUUCAACAUCUUCCUCCUCACCUCAAAGGCAGCUGUCCCUUAUUCAGCCUGAAGGUGUUUGUCUCAGGAGGUGUCUCAGAGAAAGGAAACAAGAAACUGGUGAAAGAUGGUUGAAGAACCCGUCAGGGUGGAGCAGAGACUCUCAGUG
rnacentral:lncRNA from 1 species